UAACAAGUUUUUUUGUUUGGACUGUCAUAAAAAUACCAAAAUGGACAUUUUGCAGUAAAAUAAUGCUUCCACAAGAAAUUCCAAGUAAUUUGUUAAUAAUGCAACAAAAUUGUUUGUUAAAAAGUCUAAGAUAAAUAUGAAAUACCAAACAUGCAUCCUGGUUAGACGACUUUUGAGCAAAACCUUUGAUGUUCCAGUAAAAAAAUGUAAUCCUAUUAAACCACCAGUGUGCUCAAUAUUUCCAAGGCACUUCUCCAGCUCACCAAUUCCGUUGCCAAAAUCUGCAACUCUUAUACAACAUGACGGAGAUUCUACGGUGGUGCUCUUGGGAACCGUACAUUUUAGCAAACAGUCUGUGGAAGAUGUUUCCGAGAUAGUUAAAGUUCUGAACCCAAACGCAAUUCUCAUUGAAUUAUGCCGCCAACGGGUUUCCCUCCUUGAACUGGACGACAAGAAAUUUUUGGAAGACGCAAAGAACUUUGAUGCGCAGAAGUUAAAAGAAGCGGUAAAAGGGCAGAACUUUGUAUCUGGUAUGUUGCAUGCAAUGCUGUUGAAAACUUAUGCUGACAUUGCCAAAGAAUUGGGAGUCGCGCCUGGUGGGGAAUUCCGGCGAGCUUAUCAUGAGAUGAAAAAGAUACCUGGAUGCAAAUUAUUUCUCGGUGAUCGGCCCAUACAAAUAACAAUAGCGCGAGCUUUCCAGUCCUUGAGUGUGUAUGAAUUGGGACAAGUCCUAUACCACCUCACUACAACAAAUCCUAAGCCCUUGGACAAAGAACAAUUAGAAAGAUACAAAGACAGAGACUUUGUUCAAGCACAAUUUGAAGAAAUAACUAAAGAUGUUCCAGCCUUUAAGAAAAUAUUUCACGUAUUUGUCGACGAACGUGACAAAUGUCUCGCUUACUCGCUACAGGAGUGUGUUCGUUCGGUUGAAAAGCCUCGAGUACUGGCAGUCGUUGGUAUGGGGCAUGUUGAUGGUAUCGUUAAAUACUAUGGUAAGAUGAGACAAGAGGACAUUGUACCACUUCUAUUCGGGCCUUAACAAGAACAUACCCUUUGAAAUCAGGGUAGCAACAUAACUUUAAGGGAGAAUUGGCGAUUUGUGACAUUUAUCUUGGUGGAAGCUGAUCACUAAGUUAUCAACAGGUCUUGAGCUUGUAAGAAUAGUGACUAGGUUUUUGUAUGAUCAACAAUUAAUCAGUAAUUAAUAUGAAUAAUAAUUUGAAAGUUCAUCAAGCAUUCCAGCCCGACCCUAUUACAUGGUUCUGCUGAGUAAAGGAUUGAAGUUAACUUUUUUUUUUUUACUCUUUUCCUUUUUCUAUAGACUAUUAUUUGGAUGACCAUAACUUUAUUUACACCAACAAAUUAACCACUGUAUAAAUUGUAACUAAUAAAUUUGUUUAAGUCCGCAUA